AGCCUAUCUCAGUUCGGAUUGGAGGCUGAAACCCGCCUCCAUGAAGUUGGAUUCGCUAGUAAUCGCGCAUCAGCCAUGGCGCGGUGAAUACGUUCCCGGGCCUUGUACACACCGCCCGUCAAGCCAUGGGAGCUGGGGGUGCCUGAAGUUCGUGACCGCAAGGAUCGACCUAGGGCAAAAACCGGUGACUGGGGGCUAAGUCGUAACAAGGUAAC
rnacentral:rRNA from 1 species